GCUGGAAUGGCGGAAUCGGUAGACGCGACAGACUCAAAAUCUGUUUUCCGAAAGGGAGUGAGGGUUCGAGUCCCUUUUCCAGCA
rnacentral:tRNA from 1 species